UCCAACUCCUGUUUCUUUAAAAAGUUCAUAAAACUUGUCACAGUACCCUAGUAAAGCUCUUUCUGCUGUGCUAUCUAAUCCAAAGUAGUUUGUAUCAGAUUUAUGUUCUGGCAGCUCUGUGAUAAACUUGGACUCUACCACACUGCAAACACAAAAGAUUACUUAAACUUGUUGUUAUUGAAUUUGAAGGACUCUUUUGUUUCAUGGAUCCACACCCUCAUACCAAGCCUGUGGUCCCCAAUGGCUCUGUACCUUAUACAUUUACAAGCUUGGGCAAACUGGAAUGAAGACAUUUCCACCAGUGACAAUUUAUUAUUUUGGUAUAUUUAGCCCAUUCUUUUUGUUACAGUUGUGCAUUUUAAAAACACAAUAGGAAAUAUAAAAUAUUGGAGAAUUCAGUGAGGUCAGGUAUUUUCACCAAAGGGUCCUUGAGUUGUGAAACUCAGGUUUUCCCUCUCUCACUUAAGUCUCCUUAAACCUGAUUUCUCAAUUCAUAAAGCUGCCCUGAAACUUUGGAUCAACCUGGUAAAGUUCCUAGGAAAAAACAGUUAUGCAGAAAAUUAGCGAACUCUUGAUUCCCCUGGUGUGAGGCCUUGCAAACUUGAGCCUGAAAACAUAAAAGACUGAAACUGAUGGCAGUCACACCCUCAACACAAAGAUUAUAGGUGUAACCAGAGGAGGAAUUCAUCACAAAGUGGCUCUGAUCUGAAGUCAAGCAGAGCUCUGGAGACAGCUGCCAAAGACCUCUCAUCCCAGGGACAGUUCAUCACCUGUGUUACCCGGGGCUCAAAAGCCUGUUCUAUCCCCAGUUUGUGGAAGGAGGAAAGUUUACUGACAUCCUUUGCAAAAAUUGAAAUGUUUGCUUUUGUGGGUGGUGUUUGGUGGGUUUUUUGGUUUUGUUUUUGGCUUGUUGGUCUGUUGGGUUUUUUUUUAAUGUUAAAAUGAGUCAACAUUUGGCUGAAGGAAUAGUAAUUCUUUUACUGUGACUCCAGGACAAAAAAUUAUUUACUGUCUCCCCACUUCCAAGUGAGAAGUUCACCUUAUAACAGUAGAUGUACCUUGAAGUUGCAGCUAACAGUAAUUAGCAUCUCUAAUAGUAGAAUGGUCUGUACUGUCUGACUGCCCCUGGAGCAAAAAAUCAGUUCAAUCAUUUAUAAUUUAUCUUUAAAUUACUUGUCUUGAAAAGGCUGUAUAUUACUGGUGUACGACCGUGCAAUCUGGUGUCUGUGUUGUUUCUGCACUCAUCACCUUCACUAUUUUACUUGUUUGUUGCCUGAUUGCACUGACAUUUGUAAAACAUUAAUGACAUUUGGGGGUUUUCUUCUAAUGUUAUGUCCCAAACUGUACAUGACUAGCUCAGAGGGACUCUGGAGGGUCACUCUGCAUUACUCUGAGACCUGCUGAAGUCCAGGUGUGCACAGGCAGCAGGGACAGGCAGAGGACACAGUGAACUUCUCCACUGGGUUUUGAUUUCCAGCCCUGUGCUCUGUGCUGUUGUGUUCUGCUGUGAGAAUCCUUCAGUUCUUCUUCCCUUUGGGUCUUUAAUGCUAGCAGAUGGAAAUCCAGCUCAACUUUCAAAAACUCUGAAUAAUUUAUUAAGAACAAAAUUGUUGGGUCUGAGAGCUGGUUCCUUUCUCUUUUUCUUUCUCCUUUUCUUUCUGCAAACUGCCUUUCAAAACCAAAGUUUCUAAUUACAGGUCAGGGAGGCAGGUUUAAUCACACAGCAGAGCCCUUGAUGCAGCAUUAGAGAGUGUUAUUUAUACACCUGAAUUAAUAGGGAUGCAGCAUUUCAGUUGAGAAGAAUAAGGUGGUUUUCAAUUUCACUCUUUUUAUGUGAAACAAACCACAUCAGAUUCACUGAGCUUUUUGACCUAAAUUAUUUGGAUUCUGAGUAACUAGCAAGUAGCUGCUGUGCAGAGCUAGGGGGGAAAAAAAGCAAGAAUAGACAGAGAACUGCUUACAUUGCAGAGGAACAACAGAAGCAGGAUGUAUUGGGAAAAGCUGUAUUGGAAUUGAAAGAGGAAGCCAUUGGGAAAACUGAAAGGGUAGAAAUGCACAUAUGCAAUUGUCUACCCUAAAGAAAACUUUUGGAGAGCUGUGGCAUCCACAGAAACUGAAGGGCAAUGUCAGUCUCUUGGCACACACUUAGAUACCUCAAAAUAUUGUGGUACUUUUAGGAUCAAGAAUAGGGAGAUGGAGGUGAAGCAUGUGAGGAGUCCCUGUUGCAGGGAAUGGGAUCCCUACCCCCUCACCACUUACAGUCACCAUCAGCUUUUGCUGGAGGUAUUUGUUCUGUAGUGCUGGAAAGAAGUGGGGAAUCCCAGGCAGAAUUGGUCAUGCUGUGCUGGGAGCUCCAAUGUGACUGUUUUACAGCAGCACAGAGACCCAUUUUCCCUGCUGGUUUGGAUAUGAAGCUCACAUUCACUGUGGACUUUCAUCCAGCUUUGUCUCUGUAUCUAACUUGUAUAUUUUGGCUUCCUGCUUGGUUUCUGCUGAGAAAGUCCACGAAAUCUGGAGCGGCUUUCUGGACAAUGUUUUAGGGCAAAAAGUUGGGCUCCUGUGCCUAUGCAUCUGAUUCUUUAAGUUGUGGAAUACACUGAGUUGACUGAGAUCCUGACUGGCAUUGUUUGGGCUCUGAGAUAGGUUUGUGUAUCUCCCACUUGACCACAUGAUGAACAAGGGGGUCCCCAACACUGGGCUUUUCCUUCCAGCAGCAGUUUUGGUUGUGGUUCACCUGUGGGCACCUCUCCCACAGCAUGCCCUGCAAUACAAAAAUAUCUGCCGUAUAAAAAUCCCAAAGUGACAGAGGGAGGGUUGCUAUGCUUCGAAAUAGCUAAAAUGCAGGUUCUGUGGAUAUGGAGCUCUGAACAGCAGCAAGGAUACCAGAUCUUAUGCUCAGUAUGUGAGACUUGGCAUGGUCUUGAACUCCUAGAAGCUGCAUUUUGCUGUGAGUGGUGGAUUCCUAGAAACUGUACCCAGCAGUCUCUAAGCUUAGCUAGAGACAGAUGUAUGCAACACAGUCAGUACCUAUAUGAUAUAUUACUUAAGGAAAAAAAGGUUAUCUACUUAUGUAAAUUUACAUUCACUCCCAAGAUAAUUUUUUGUUUGGUAUACUUAGACUGUGAACCCUGUCCUCCUGAAUGUCUGCAAAUUAUUACCCAGUGCUGGAGCAGUGUGUGCAGGGAAUAGGAACUGAUCCACCAGGUCCAGAGCAUCACAGUGCCUUGGCCAUUGAAUCUCUCAGAAUAUGUCUCCAGCAGUGUGUGAGGAUCCAAAACUGGGCUGCAGGCUGGAUGGAAACUCAGUUGCAGAAAAGAGGUGGCUGACACCCACCAUGAAAGAGACAGCCAAGGGUUUGGUGUUGUGCUGUACACCAAAGACAACUUGUCUCAUGUGUGGUAGUCAGGCUGCCCUGCCUGGGGGAGGAGAUUUAGAGAGCUCUGCUGCUUUUUGGUAUGUAUGUGGGUUUUCUUCCCCCAAAAUAGCUACCUGUUGAAGUGGGAGUAUUUCAGAAGGGGAGAGGAUUAGCAGUGGUGACAUGGAUGGUCAUAUUUCAGAGCAAACACCUGUAAAUCAGUUUAAGCCUGUAAGUAGCAACCUAUUAAACUGAGUUCACCUCAGCAGCACUCGCCCCGUGUCUGCUUGAGAAGGCUGAAUCCAGUGACCCAGCCCUCAGAGUACAGCUGCUGCUCCAAGCUCAGCCUUUCCCCAUCUUCUGUACCAGUGCAAAUGGAGCAGCUAAGGAUGGUAACAGCUGACAAGACAAAACACAUUAAAGAGUAAGUGUUCAGAGAUCCUUCUGGCUUUGGAGUUUGGGAAUCACUGAGAACAAUCGGUGUGCCUCUGAGAUGCUGCACUCAUCCCUUCAGGACUGUGCUGAUGGUCACUUUCCUUGCUGAAACACCUCGCCCUAGUUCCCUUCCAAGAGCUAAGAGUGUUAAUUUCUUAAGAAACUUCUGCUAAUUGUAAUGUAAGCAGUCUGGGGAGAGGUUGUGUCAGAAAGAAGAUCCAGUUCUGCUUGUACAGAAUAAUGAAGAUUUGCCUGUGUCAAAACCCUAUCCCCAAAUUUUCUCUGGUGUUUUUGGGAAAGACUGCACUGCUGUGGGAAGCACUGUUGGCCUGAAACCCCAGCUUAAGAGGGAGAUCACAUUACAGAGGAGCAUAGUGUGGUCCCAGAAACAUCACUGCAGAAAGGGAAACUCAUGGAAUCAGAGCAAAGGAGCAUGGAGAAGAUGCCACUUGUCUCCUUGAGUGGCUAAGGAGAGAGGAUGCUCAUGUGAAAUUGUCUCAUCCCCAUAUCUUCUCAGUUUUGUUGCCAAGGUUAGUAUAGCCUUAGCUGGAAAAAGAAGGGGGGGUGAGGAAACCCAUUCUGAGGACAUACUUGCACCAUUUCUUUGUAGCAAAUAAGUUUGGGGUUUUUUUUUUCUGCCUGCACUCUGAGCUACUGGAAGCUGUGUGCAUUAGCCCUGUACAGAGACUGAUCCAGCAUAUUACAGGAUGUGAUUUGAACAAGGUUAUAAGAAGUUACAUGCUAGAUCUGUGGAGAGAGUGGGAACUUUUCAUAUGAUAACAAGAAAAAUUCAUAAUUCCCUCACCAGUUCUACUUCCCAUUGGAGUCAGUUUCCAGUGUCUUCUGAGAAUUCCAGUUUCUUGAAAUUUAUGUAAAUUUUUCAGUGGGAUUACUGAUCUGGGGUUUUUCUUCUUCUGAUUUUCUUUUUCCUGCUUCACAACACACUUAUCAAAAGUAGGGUUGUCCUACUGUCAUAAGAAAAGUUUUUUGCAUACACAACUUUUCCACUUAUUGCAGUAAAGGAAACUGGGACUAGAGAAAGAGAGAAGUUCUCAUUUUACUGGGAAAUUUUGAGAUUUCAAAACCAUUCCAGAGUGUAUCACAUUUUAGAUCAAGCCUUCUUACAAAAUUAAACUCUGAAAAUGUCGUCUUAUUUUAAUCACAGCAGUUCCUCCGGUUUCAGGGUCUUUAAACUGAAAAAAGUCCUUAUUUUAUAUAACUUCAUCUAGCUUUUUAUAUAAUUGGGUUUUUUUGUUGGUGUUUUGGAAAGCUUUUCUCAACUAUUUGCAAUACAUCAAAAAUACCAAAAUAGGCCUUUUUGACAUUAUUUAAAUACCACAUUAAUUGAGAGAAAUCAUAAAGUUGUUUCAAAACAGUUGAACGUCAACAAACAUAUUUUUUCCUUUACCGUUCUUCCACACACAAACACUCAUUAUUUAGACAAAUAUUUUAACACUAUGUAACUCUCAUUCUUUUCAAAUUGGUGACUGCAGUGUUGAGAAAUUCCUCUUCCAGUGAUCUCACUUGGAAAAGCAGAGGCUGCGUGUAUCCAACCUCUCAGGUCAGUACUGACUUCCACAAAGGAAAGUAUGCAACUGGAGUUCCUGGAACAGACCUCUCUUGCAGUAUGUGCUUUCUAUCAAAGACAUAUUUCUCAAGGAAAAAAUAAACCAAAACAAAACCCAAGCCAACCAAAGCCCAGCCCAUAACAACAAAUGAACAAAAUUAAAGCCAAUUUUGUUAUAAAUCAGUUUUUGUCUUGACUUGCAGAAGGUGCAAUGGCCCCUUCAUCUGCUCAAAUCCUUCGACUUGGAAAAAAAAAUAGUGGAAAUGGAGAAUGUGGCCUGUCGAGCUGAGGUAUAAUGUGCCUCAAACUCUACCAGCAACCCUUCUUUCACAAUCUGGUAGUGAUGUUUCUGUCUCCCCGCCUCCCUCUCCAGAAGCUGACAAGCAGCAGCAACUCUCAACUGAGGCAGACUUGGGAAAUGACUAAUUAAACAAUGAUUGCAGGAUUGCUUCCUGCCCUGGGUAUCAGACCACAAGGGUGAAGCUUCAUAAAGAUGGAGUGAGCGCAGGAAGGGGUGCUGUGCAUACUUCCACAAUGGGGGCAUUAUGGAGACAUGCCCCGGAGGCCGCCGGAGAGCUCGCUGAAUGCAUCCUGAUACCAUCGGGGAAUGGAGUACCUGCUAGUUCAAAGCGAGCCUGAAUGCAGGUUUUAAUCCUUUCUGACAAUUGUUGAGAGGAAAUGGCCUUUCCUCUGACCUUAUCGUUGUAAACAACAACUAGUCAUCAGGUUUGUCCUGCCUAGGGAAUAGUCAAGGUCUAUGCAAGGAUUUGACUUCAUAUUUUUUUCUUCUCUGAUUACAAUGGUUUAAUUCUCUAGACCUGAAAUGCAUUCUCACCCCUUAAUAUACUGACUUCAUGUACAUUCUUUCUUAAUUAUUGAGUCCAUACCGCUCGGCCUGGUUCAAAUUAGCUCCUUGGAGCUGUGGGCAGACAUCCCAUGGCCAGUUUCGGUACUCAGCCCUGUGGUUGUUUUUAUGAUGGGCUGUUGAGAGAUGCCUUUUCCAUACCCAGUAUCCCCAGAACUGGGUGUGAGACAAGCUGACAAACUCCU